UUUAAAUAUACCUUCCUGAAGAAACCAGAGGCCUUUCUCCUGGGCAUAGUCGGCCAAUUGGUGCCAAAGAAGGACAGAACUUUCUUUAUGUAUGCUACAACAGCAGCAAGAAUACUUAUUGCAAAGUAUUGGAAGACACAAGAUUUACCCACUCUGGAAGAAUGGCAGAUGAAGGUGAUGGACUAUAUGGAACUGGCGGAAAUGACUGGCAGAAUCCGAGACCAGGGAGAAGAGUCGGUGGAAGAAGAUUGGAAGAAAUUUAAAGACUAUUUACAGAAAUACUGCAAAAUUAAUGAAUGUUAGAAUGAUGUCAGAAUGAAAUUAAGUGGUCUUAGCAGCAAUGUUAUAAAGGUGUAUGCACAAAUGGAUUGUUAACAGUUGAGAAUCUAAAGUUAUAAUAUGUUAAGUUAAAGGAUUAAGAUAAAAACAAAGAGGGAAAGGAAUUGCUGAAUUAACUAAUAGAACUGGAAUACAAAAAAGGGAGGUGUGAGGAAGUCAGGGAAGUAAGGAAAUGAAAUGUAAGUUAUGGAAAGAUCGAUGUGUUUUUCUUUUAAGUGUUUUUUAUCUUUUUUCUGUAUUUUGUAUUUUGUAAUUUUUUCUUUUUUAUUUCUUUUCCUUUUUCUUUUCUGUUUACCUAUGUAAUCUUUUCUUUGAAACUUUAAUAAAUAGCAUUUAAAAAAAAAAAGGAGGGAAUUCCUUCUGUUUCAUGGGCACAAACCAUUUAAGGCUUUAUAGUGUGUCCAGAAGCAAACUGGUAACCUGUGCAGCUGCCACCAGAUCAGUGUAACAUGAUCCCUUGGGCCAGCACCCAGGAGCUCAUAAUAAAAUAAAAAUCUGAAUCCCAUUGGCUGAAGGCUGCUAUUUCAUCUAGGAGCUGAAAGAUCACUUCUAAAUAGCAAGAAAAAGAAUAUUGGGAAAGAUAAUUUUUGAGCUGGGAGGGAAAGGGGUCAAGCAGUUUUUCCUCACUGUCCUUCCACCACUUACGUCAGGGAUGGGGUACCCAUGGCCUUCCAUCAUCCUGGACCACUGGACAUGCAAGCUGUAGCCGACAGAAUUUGAUGUUUGACAACAGCUGGAAGGCCACAGAUUCCCCACAGCCAACUGGUAGACUCACUACCUCCUUGGAAAUGAUAUAAAUAAACAAUAUGUAAUGUGACCAUUGGUUUUGUCUAAUUCAUGCAGCUCUUUACAUCUCAACACACAUUCAUAAAAUACAAAGUGAAUGAUUUUCUGUUUCUUAUUCUUCGUUGUCAUCUCCCAUUCAUAGUGCAGUAGAGGGGGAGUAGGGAGCCAUUUCUUUAGAAUACCAAUUUAUAAAACCAGAGGGUUUCCCCCCUUCUUCUGGCAGCUAACCCUUUUGAUUUCUUACAAGCUACAGGGUUGUAAUUCUUCAGUGAAAACAGCCAGAAGCAGAACACAAAAUGACCUUCAGCAACACGACUGGAUGUUAUGAUAAAAUAUAAUGAGAUAAAUUUUGAAAGAGACAACUUUUGACUGAAAAAUUAUAGCACUUAUAAGAUGAAAACUUCAGAUACUUGAACAAAAUGUUAUCAGUGCUUGAAAUCCAAAGGAAUAUAUAAUUAAAUGUCAUUAAGGGGGUCUCUUUCCAUGUUGUUUAUACAGUAAAAACUCUAUGGAAAUGCUGUUAGUUUCAUUUUAAAUUGUCAGUUUGGCUCAUGAGCUUAAUACUUGUAUAGAAUUUUCUUUCUGCUAAAUUAUUUUUUUUAAAAAAACCCCAAACCUACCUUACACACAUUGGUUGAGCUGGGACAGAAUAUAGUGCCUUCCAGAUAUUGGAGGACUACAACUCCCAUCAGCCCCCACCAGCAUGGCCAAUGGUCAAGGUCAAGCAACACCUGGAAUGUACUACAUUGUCUAUCCAUGCAUUCAGUCAGCUGUGGAGAACCUUUGAACUACAGCUCCUAUAAUUGGCCAUGCUUGCUGGGGCUGAUGGGAGUUGUAGUUCACAAACAUCUGGAAGGCCAAAGGUUCCCCACCCUGGCACUAAACUAUAGUUUGGCAGUACUGGAUUUCCUGAACUUGCAAAUUGGGUUCUGAAUCAUAUCUCGUGGUUCCAGCAUGCAUCCCUAGUUCAAGCACAGAGCUCAUUCCUGAUCCUCCUAGCCAUGAUUUGGAGGACGGGAAACAUUCCAUCUGAACCUUCCCCAUGAAUGAUAUCAAAUCAGCUUAACUUAAUUGGGAGUCCCGAUGUUUAAGUACUGUAUUGAUAGAUGUAAGAAUCCCCCCAUUGCUGUCUCUGCAACCAUUCAUAAUUUUAUAAGCCUGUCAUCAUUUUAUUCUAAUCUAAAACAGCUCAAACUCUGCAGCCUUCCUUUAUAGAAAAGUGUGCUAAACACCUUGAUAAUUUUAGUUGAAUUUCUGCAUUAAGAAAAAUCUCUAUUUUCGUUUGAAUGGAAUGACCAAGAUUGUACAGAAUAUUAUAUAUUUUAACAGACUGCAGAUUUAUAUAUUGGCAUUAUUUUUACUGAUCUCGACUGCUGGUUGAAACCUUGUAAUGAGCUAAAAUUUUUGGUUUGGUUUUGUUUCUGCUGUGCAAUUCAACAUAAAAAGAAUAUAUGGGACUGAAAUUAAUUCUGUCCACUCACUGGGUACGAUUGACAAGCAUUCUAGAGGAUGCCGUGUUGGUACAUGAAAAUAGCAUAAAAAUAUAGCUAUUCUUAAGUAAAUAUUUAUCAUUCUAUUCAUCUGAUAGGAGCAUUGCAGAGUUUACAGGAAGUUCAGAUGGAUUGCACCCAUGGAUUGAUAGAAUGUAUGCAGACAUUGCAGGGCUGUAUGGAUGAGCCCGGGGUGGGGAACUCCCCCCCCCCCAUGUUGCUGAAUUACAGCUCUGAUCAUUUCUGCCUUGCUGGAAUCAUGGGGUUUUUAGUUCAGCAACAUCUGGAGGGCCAGUGGACUAGCCCCACAUCUCCUCUAUGGGCUAGUCUCCUAUCAAUGCAUGCAGCAGCCACGCCCUCUGCCACCCACAACUUCAGCCAAUAUGUGAAGUGGCUCUUUGUGUUCUGAGUGUCAGGGGCAGUCGGAAGCAGAGAGACAUCUUCCUGCCUCUGAGUCCGUAUCAUUGCAAGGCCAGAGAUGAGCCAUUGGCUGUCUAUGACAUUGGACUGGGUAGGUUCCACCAGUACAUAUUUGUAGCUGGUAGGUGCAUUUGUGGUCCUCUGCAAAGAGUACUUUGCAUGCCCUGUCUCAACGGAGCCAUUUUACAUGCACAUUUCAGCUCACAGUAGCUUUGUCAGGCUCCUGGUGGAUCCAUUCUGAGUUUAGCCCGGCUUGGCUACUUACCCUUUAUCACAAUUGACAGCUAUCAGCUAUUUUUGUCUUAUGGUAAUUCUGCCUCAAGAAUAAUUUUUGAGCUACAAAUCAGGAGUGCCAUAGUUUCCAUUUUGAACAUAGACUCUGGCCUUGUAUCAAUCAGCACCCUAUGUCCAAUCAUGCCCAGUUUUGUCUACUUCAACUCAGUGGUGUAGCUAGCCGAUUGGGUGCCUGGUGUGGGGGCGUGUCCUGCAGCCAGGGGCAGGGCAAUCUGCUCCCAUGGGGGCGGAUUGAGCCUCUUCAAUGCUUGGAGCCUCUCUGACGCCUUCCCCUCACCUGUAGGGUGGCUGAGAGAGAGGCAGUAGGCAGACACAAGUCCCACACUGCCAUUUUAGGCAGCGGGGAACCUGUAGGCACCUAACACGUCACUCCUAAAAAGUUUCAUGAGCCCUAUUUUUUAAAAAACUCAUUUUGUCCCCCCCCCCCCAGUGAUGACACGCAGGACACACACCCUGCACCCCUUCCUCCUCCACUGCUUCAACUGUCAAUGGUUCUCCAAGUUCUCAGACAGAAGUUCUUCACAUCCCCUACUACCUGAUCCUUUUUAAAGUAUAUAUGUCAGAUAAAGAUGAAUGUAUUGCCAAGAAUGUUAUUUUUGUUUCAAUCAUUGCAAAUCUUGGACAAAAUGGACUGUUUCAAGAAGUGGCAGAGAGAUAUUUCUAGAUUUGUCUGGCAGGGCAAGAAGCCCAGAAUAAAAUUUAAAAUAUUAACUGAUGCAAAGGACAGAGGUGGAUUUGCCCUGCCAGACCUCAAACUUUAUUAUGAAUCAGCAGCAUUCUGCUGGUUGAAAGAAUGGCUGCUUCUUGAGAACACAGACAUUUUGGAUUUAGAAGGUUUCAAUAAUGUUUUUGGGUGGCAUGCAUAUUUGUGGUAUGACAAGGUUAAAGCACAUAAAGCAUUUAAAAACCAUAUUGUUAGGAAAGCAUUGUUAAAUGUCUGGAUAAGAUAUAAGGACUUACUUGAAAAUAAAACCCCAAGGUGGUUGUCACCAAUGGAAGCAAAGGCUCAGAAAAGGCUCAAUAUGGAGGCCAAAUGGCCGAAAUAUUGGGAAAUUUUGGAACAAGAAGGAGACAAAUUGAAAUUGCAGAGUUUUGAGAAAUUAAAAGAUAAAGUGUGAGACUGGCUUCAUUAUUAUCAGAUAAUGGAGGCAUAUAAUUUGGAUAAGAAAAUUGGCUUCCAGGUGGAAAAAUCAAAACUAGAAACAGAACUGUUAGAACCCAAAACUAAGAUUUUGUCAAAGAUGUAUAACUUGCUGUUGAAAUGGAAUACUCAGGAUGAAACGGUGAAAUCUGCUAUGAUUAAAUGGGCACAAGAUGUUGGACAUAAUAUUAUGUUUGCUGACUGGGAACAGUUGUGGACCACAGGUAUGAAAUUUACGGCAUGCAAUGCCCUAAGAGAGAAUAUUAUGAAAGUGAUAUACAGGUGGUACAUGACACCAGUCAAGCUUGCAAAAAUCUAUCAUUUGCCCGAUAAUAAAUGUUGGAAAUGUAAAGAAAACGAAGGUACAUUCUUUCACCUUUGGUGGACGUGCCCAAGGAUUAAGGCUUUCUGGGAGAUGAUCUAUAAUGAAUUGAAAAAGGUAUUUAAAUAUACCUUUCUAAAGAAACCAGAGGCCUUCCUGUUGGGCAUAGUCGGCCAAUUGGUGCCAAAGAAGGAUAGAACUUUCUUUAUGUAUGCCACAACAGCAGCAAGAACACUUAUUGCAAAGUACUGGAAGACACAAUACCUACCCACUCUGGAAGAAUGGCAGAUGAAGGUGAUGGACUAUAUGGAAUUGGCGGAAAUGACUGGCAGAAUCCGAGACCAGGGAGAA